CAAUGGGCGAAAGCCUGACGCAGCAACGCCGCGUGCGGGAUGAAGGCCCUCGGGUUGUAAACCGCUUUCAGCAGGGACGAAGAUGACGGUACCUGCAGAAGAAGCCCCGGCCAACUACGUGCCAGCAGCCGCGGUAACACGUAGGGGGCGAGCGUUGUCCGGAUUUAUUGGGCGUAAAGAGCUCGUAGGCGGUUCCGUCAGUCGGGUGUGAAAACUCUGGGCUCAACCCAGAGACGCCACCCGAUACUGCGGUGACUAGAGUCCGGUAGGGGAGUGCGGAAUUCCUGGUGUAGCGGUGAAAUGCGCAGAUAUCAGGAGGAACACCAACGGCGAAGGCAGCACUCUGGGCCGGUACUGACGCUGAGGAGCGAAAGCGUGGGGAGCGAACAGGAUUAGAUACCCUGGUAGUCCACGCCGUAAACGUUGGGCACUAGGUGUGGGACCUUUCCAACGGGUUCCGUGCCGCAGCUAACGCAUUAAGUGCCCCGCCUGGGGAGUACGG
rnacentral:rRNA from 1 species